GACAGUGAGAGGGUUACGACAAUCUUAACAGGGAAAGGGAAUGAGGAAGCUAUUGUUGACUCUUCACUCUCGGCAAAUGCUGUGGCCACUGACAUUGACCUGAGAGCAGCAUGAGACGAUGGGAAGCCUUUCUCCAAAUUCGGCCCAUCAUUCUAAGUGCACUUCUCUCUUUGGAUUCGUGAGCAGAACUGAAGACAGUGCACGAGGGUUCUGGAGGAUACCGACUAAUUGGACGUCUUUAAGCCCACAGCACUCCUUGUUAUUAAUCUUCUGCUAGGCGGCAGCAAGUUAACCGUAAACCACAACAAAGAUGGCAGCAGCGGCUUCAUCACGACAACGGCGACGCUACUUGCCAACGGGCGCCUCAAUAUUUACUUCCGGCCUGUCCGUUUGACGUCACUUCCGACACCGGCUCCCGGGCUUGUGCGCCGCUCCUCCUGCAGCCGCGGUCAAUAAUACCGAGCCGGGUGAGUGGAGUCUGAGAGAGUCUCACGGAGGGAAUCCGAGAGAAUGUGAGGCCAGCAACAUGGAAAGGGAAGGUGGGAGGCCUGCGGCUGUUGUCGCGGUUGUGACUGAGCCUCGGUUUACCCAGCGAUACAGGGAAUAUCUCGAGAAGCAGAAACUCCUGGAUAGACGGCACCGUGUAGUAAAGAUGCCUGAUGGCACGGUGGCGCUGCCGGUGCUGGGAGAGACUCUCCCUGAGCAGCACCUUCAAGAGCUGAGGGAUCGUCUGGCUCCAGGCGGCACCUGUAUAGUAACGCAGCUCCUGGAUCCUGUUCCCUCAAAGAAGGCCCAGGGUUGUUCACCUGCCCAAAGGCUGUGUCUUGAAGUGAGUCGCUGGGCAGAGGCCCGGGGAGUGACGUGGUCACCUGAGUUGGAGGCUGAUUUGCCCAGGUCUUGGCAACGACAUGGUGACCUCUUGUUGCUGAGCGAGGACUGUUUCCAAGCCAAGCGAUGGAAAAAUCUGGAACCGGAACUCUGGGAGACUGUUGCGUCUGCACUUGGCGUCCGUCGUGUGGCCAAACGAGGGCGAGUGUCGCCAGAUGGCACUCGAACACCAGCAGUGAGUCUGCUGCUGGGCGACCAUGGCUGGGUAGAGCAUGUGGAUAACGGGAUCCGAUAUAAGUUUGACGUGACCCAGUGCAUGUUCUCCUUCGGAAACAUCACUGAGAAGCUUCGAGUGGCAUCGCUGCCCUGUGCUGGAGAAGUGCUGGUGGAUCUCUAUGCAGGGAUUGGUUAUUUUACAUUGCCCUUCCUAGUCCAUGCUGGUGUUACCUUCGUCCAUGCCUGUGAGUGGAACCCCCAUGCUGUAGUUGCUCUGAGAAAGAACCUUGAUAUCAAUGGAGUGGCAGAUCGGUGCCAAAUACACUUUGGGGAUAACAGACAACUGAAGCUCUCAAACAUUGCAGACAGGGUGAACCUGGGACUGAUUCCCAGUUCUGAAGAAGGCUGGCCCAUUGCCUGCCAAGUGCUAAGACGGGAUGCAGGGGGCAUUUUGCAUAUCCACCAAAAUGUGGAAUCUUAUCCAGGCAAGAAUCUUCAGCCUCCUGGAAGCAGUGAAAUGGAGAAGGAGCAUCGGCCUUAUCCUCAGCAAAUUGUCACCAACCAAUGUACAAAUGGAGCAAUCAGGGAUUCUAGGAGAAGAAUGCUAUCAGCAGCCACCAAACCAGAGUGGCAGAGGUGGGCGGAAUCUGCAGAAACCCGUAUUGCCACCCUUCUUCAGCAGGUGCACGGGACACCGUGGAAGACACAAAUCCUGCACAUCCAACCAGUGAAAUCCUAUGCUCCCCACGUGGAUCAUAUAGUGUUGGAUUUGGAAUGCCGCCCCUGUCCUCUAGUUGGCUAGAGAAGGUGGAUCCUGAGACACAAGGAUCUACAUGCACUGUGAUGAGGGCCAGAGACACAGAGUUUUCUCCGAGCACUUGCUGGAUUGGCCUGGUCAGGAAGAGGCAUCUGUUGGAACCAAGGAAGAACGACUGAGAGGAUCGGGAGGCUCAUGGAGCGUUUGUCACCUCCGUCCAGGAAUGUGUGCUGAAGGCUUCCCUUGUGCACGCCAGUGUUAGUUGCCGGGUGAGGAUACUGAUGAUUAGAGAGUUUAAGUACUCUGUCUAGAGACAAGAGGCAGAAGUGGGCAAGCAUACUGCCAAGCACAUAGUGCUCUAUGUCUGUUACAUGAAUGAAUGAACCAAAGUAGUCAAUAUAUACUCAACAUUGAUUCCAAAUGCCACUAUAUUCUCUCGUUUCCUUAACUAAACAACAGACUUUUCCUAUUCAUUCGGCAUUUACAAAGCCAGAAGACUCAACUAGUAGCUGAAUUUUG